GCUAAUUCUAGUGGUUAGGAUUCGGCGCUCUCACCGCCGCGGCCCGGGUUCGUUUCCUGGUCAGGGAAGACU